CGUAGGGUGCGAGCGUUAAUCGGAAUUACUGGGCGUAAAAGCGUGCGCAGGCGGUUUUUGUAAGACAGGGCGUGAAAAUCCCCGAGCUCAACUUGGGAAGUGGCGCUUGUGACUGCAAGGCUAGAGUAUGUCAGAGGGGGGGUAGGAAUUCCACGUGUAGCAGUGAAAUGCGUAGAGAUGUGGAGGAAUACCGAUGGCGAAGGCAGCCCCCUGGGACGUCACUGACGCUCAUGCACGAAAGCGUGGGGGAGCAAACAGGAUU
rnacentral:rRNA from 1 species